UUGGCUCAACUGAUUGAUGUGGUGUGGUCGUGCUCUCCCGGGCCGGGCCUAAGCCGUGCCGGAUGAGGGACGGGCGUUCCCAGUGAACGUGUCCGCUCUUCUCGGUCUGUCCGCGGGGCCCCUCACCUGUCUUUCCCCUUGGCCUAUUGGGUAAGGUGAGGAAGGCAGGGGUUGGGGUGUGGCCUCCGGCCCUGACCUUCGUUCUCCCGUCCCCAGCCUUGGGGUGCCUAGUGGGGGACGUUGGGCUUUGGACACAGCAGGUGCGCUUGCUUCGCCUUCCUGGCGUGUGCCCCGCGAGCGGCCCUCCCUGUGGUGGGGAGGGCUGUGCCGCUGCCAUGCCACGCGCCCCCGCAUGGGUGUGUGAGCAUGCCUCGUCAGAUGCUCGGUGGUGCCCCUGGAGUGCUCCAGGUCGUCCCUCAGGUGCAUGAGGCCGAGUGGUGGUGGUGUUUUCCCUCAAUCCUGUGUCCUCCUCGUGUCCCCGCCACGGUGGUGUGCGUGUGUCCCAUGGGGGUGUUGAGAACGUAAGAGAAGCGUUGUGUGCUCCCCUUGUUGUGGUGGCUGAUGGAUGAGGCCUUGCAGGGGGUCCCUGACCGUGCACACGCUCCUGUGUGGUGGCCCGCUUACCUAUGCUGCAGACUCCUCCCACCCAGUUGAGUGGCGGCUCCUGGUGUGCCUCCGUGGGCCUGAAGGAGAGACCAUCGGGUGAGGGACGGUGCGCCCUCGGUGAGAAAGCCUUCUAUAGUGAUCCGAGAAGGGAGCCUUGGGGUACUGGACCCCCCAGCCGCUGCCCCUCCCAAGUGUGUAGUGGCCACUGUGGCGACUGCCAGAGCACGUGGGCAGAAAACCCCCCUCCCCUCUGUGGGGAAAGAGGGGGGUGAUGGGUGCGCCGGCCCUGCGGUGGGGCCGUGUGCUGCUUGUUGCCUACUGCGGCCCGCGCCUCCCCCCUCUGAGUUGGGUGAGGGUCCUGCCAGGCCCCACCAGGUGUCCGGCGAGUGCUCGGGUAGCUAUCGUAGAUCGCAUUUUGGUUUCGCAGGCGCUCCGCCUCGCUGUCAGUCAAUUGGUGGACUCGCUUGCAGGCCUGCAGUUCCUUUUGCUGGCGAUGCAGCUACUGACGGCGCUCCGACAGCGGCGUCUCGUCGCCCUCUCUCGCCGUGGCCCCCUGGCGCCCGGCGCGCGGCCCCUUCUUAGGCGCCGUAGGUCGUGGCUAUGGGCCCUGACCCCCCCCAGCCCGAAACUUCUGGCUUUUGAAUGCCUCUAUGAGUCACGAAGCUGCGGGAGGCAGAAUCAGGAGUUUUGGGGUCAAUCAGGGGUCAGCGUAUUGUCCCCAACCUUUACGUCCGGCGCGCGGCCCCUUCUUAGGUGCCAUAGGUCGUGGCUACGGGCCCUGACCCCCUCCUGCGCGCAGCAGGCCCCGUGGGUGAGCCGAGGGGGGUUGGGGUGCGACUGCCCAGUCGGCCCCGGCUCCCCCAGCCCCGCAGCCGUGGAGAGGAGGAGCCUGUCGUGCCCGCCCUUGCCCCCGAGCCGUGGCUGUGUGGUGGGCCCGGUCUGGGUCGCCCUCGCUCGAGAGUGUGUCCCCAGGAUGCUGAGCCUCGGGGUCAGACUUGGAAGACAGAUCUGUUGAGGAUGGAUGGAGGAAGGUGGGUGGGACGGCACGCUGGCCCUGGCGGCAGGGCUGGGGUGUGGGGCCCGCUCCAGGGAUGGCCAGGAACGCCCGGCGUCCCAGGCGUUGUGGGACUGCCCUCGUGUGUGGGUGGCGGUGGGAUCCCGCGCUGGAUUUCCUGGGGGCCCGGCUGUGUCCUGGUGUUUUCUGGUCCCCGGUCGGCGCCCUCGCCCGCGUCCUGUGACCCCUGCUGUGCGUGUGCUUGGCGGCCCCUCCCCACCGCUGCCGGCCUUUCCUCCUCGUUCCGUGAGUGCGGCCGCCUGUGUCCCCUUCCACCCCCGUUCCCCACGGUCUGGGACCGAGCCGGCCUCGCCUCACGUGGGUGUCGUCUCCCGGCGUCCGUCGGCCGGUGGCGUCCCCGGGUGGAGCAGUGCCCUCGGAGCCCUGAGAGAGGGGGGCUGGGCGUGGAGAGCCUUGGCGCGCACAGCAGGGUUGCGCAUGUGAGGGCUGUGGGGGCCCCCGGUAUGCGGCGGGAGAGCGUUCUCCCGGGCCGUCUGCGGCUCCGGGUGUGUAGGGUUGGCGGUGGGCGUGAGGCCCCGUGAAGGGUGCGCCCUCUCCCCCCCGCGGGGGGUGUGUGUGCAGGGUGGCCGGAGAGACCAGUCUGUCGUUCUGGGUGUGCCUCGGGACAGCCCCUGUGCUGGGAGGCCUCUGGCGGUGAGAUCCCGCGGUGCGCCUUGGUGGCUGACUCGCUUCCCCCGGGUCGUUUUGAGCCAUCCCCCUCGCGGUGGCGCGCGGCCACCCCCGCCUCCACCGCCGGUUCUGUGGUGUUUGAGUCAGGUGGCCGCACCCUGUCGGUGCCCCUCUCCGUCCGUCCGUCCAUCCGCCUCGGUCUGCUCCCCACCUGCUGCUCCCCGUGGCCGCGCCCUGCUGUGUCUCGCUUCCCCGGGCCUGCUGUGGAUCUGCGACAGGUCCACGCGGCUGUCCUGUUCACGACGGCGGGCGGAGUUGGCGCAGCGCUGCGCGCGCGUGCUCGGGUAGCUAUCGUAGAUCGCAUUUUGGUUUCGCAGGCGCUCCGCCUCGCUGUCAGUCAAUUGGUGGACUCGCUUGCAGGCCUGCAGUUCCUUAUGCUGGCGAUGCAGCUACUGACGGCGCUCCGACAGCGGCGUCUCGUCGCCCUCUCUUGCCGUGGCCCCCUGGCGCCCGGCGCGCGGCCCCUUCUUAGGUGCCAUAGGUUGUGGCUACGGGCCCUGACCCCCCCCCACCCCGAAACUUCCGGCUUUUGAAUGCUUCUAUGAGUCACGAAGCUGCGGGAGGCAGAAUCAGGAGUUCGGGGUCAAUCAGCGGUCAGCGUGUUGUCCCCAACCUUUACCAGUGGGGUCUUACCCGGACCCUGGCCGCGUCAUUCUGUUUUCUGAAACUUCAGUGUUGUCGGUUAGCCGGAACGGUCUCCAUGGAAACAAGUGAAGAACAUGUAAUUUUAAGUGACUGUAAGGAAGUUCACGCUGCCCCAGCACCCACCUGGCUGGCUCCCUGCAGGUUCCACUGCCCAGCCCGUGAGUGGACGCUGCGGGGUGCCCUGCGGCUCCCGGUGCAGGAAGGAGCCCAGCUCUCACCCGCCGAAUAUCUAAUGCCACCCCGUCACUCGGGCCGAGGUGUCCUCUGCGCAGCGCUCUCCAGACCUGGGAAGAGAACAAGUUUCUAGCCCUUUAAGCCUCCAAGUUGAUGGAAAUACAUACAAUAAGCCAAACUUCCUUAAGUCCCAGAGUUUCUGGACCUCAGUUUAUUAAAGAUCUAAAAAUGAGAAAAAACUGGAAAAAUUGGGAAAAAACCAAAAGGGAGGAGAAAGUAAACCUUGAACGAAAAAAAUGAUUAAGACACAAAUUAAAAAGGCAAAAGAAAGGGAAAAAAAACCAACGAAAUGGCAAAAACAGUUUGGGGCUUUUUUCCUAGGCGUUGCUUUUUCUUAAAAAAAAAAAAAGCGUUUCCGCUUCUCUGUGAAACGUGCAGACACGGAAUACUCACUCAUCGUGAAAAUGAUGAGACCUAGCGACAGCCUCAGACAUGUGAGGCAGGCGGCCUUCCUGACGAGAUCAGAAGAUUCAAACAGAGGUUGACAAACUUAAUUUGGAGAUGAAAAGUGAAGAGCUGGAGACCUCAGGGGUCUCCAGGACCCGCUGUGUGAGGGUCCUGUGUGUCUGGCCAGGAUUCCGAGUGCCUGGAGGGAAGCCCUAGGGCCGGGUCCCUGAAGAUGCGAGCAUCUCUGGGUCAGCGUGCUCUCAGCACCCCAGCCCGCCCCCAGCCCAGCCCCAGCAGGCAGGGAACCGGCAAUGAAGGCUCGGCUCCCAGAAGCUCACAGUCCACAGGCCAGUGACCCUAGUGUUAGAGCUUCUGGCCCAGCCUCUCCUGGACCACAGAGGAGGCCGGUUCCCCCAGUGGCUGAGAGGUGACGGUGCUGGGGCUGUACUUUGAACAUCACAGUCACGUUACCGCGUCUGGGCCGGCAGGACUCAAUACACGUCUAGAUCGACGGUCCAGGAAGGAACCCGCACGGAGGUCUCAGACACAGCAGGAUGAGAAGGCAACUGCUUCCUGAGCGCGAAAAACGCCAACACCUUGAGUCAACCUGAACACAUCUGCGGUCAUCCCAGAACGCCAGCUGAUGGAAACUCACUCCCCUCGGGACUCGGGCCCCCACCUACGGGCCAGAAGCUUGCAUCCCGGCUGCCGAGUGGCUGCCUCCUUCCUUUCUUCUGCUGCUGUUUCUCACCCCGAGUGGAGUGUGCAGAGUGCUGGGGACCCCAGACCCUGUGGUCAUCUGCCGCUUUCCCAUCCCCUCCUGCCCACCCCCCAGCGGCCAGGAGCCUGGAUUUGGGGCCAUCCCUGAGCGCCCAUGUGGGUUGAGGCACGUGCACAGUCCACGGUGCACCAGGGGCCGCCAAGGUCAGCGGGCUGUGGUUUCUGAGUCGACAGGGGUGGCGGCAGCAGUGGACCCAGCCCAGUGGCCCCAGUGUGCACAGGCCGGGAAGUGUCUUCCAGCCGGUCUUCUUCCUCCCACUCCUGGGAAUGCAUGUACCCUGAGUCGGGAGAGAGGCGGGCCUGGGCACCCUCACCAAUGGCAGUGUCCACCUAGGAGGUCUUUAGCAAGUGAGGAGACAGGCCACGGAGGAGCAGUGUCCUGCUCUUGGGCUGAAAGGGCUCCCGGGAGAGAGCAGUGUGGUCGUUAGCAUGUGUUUGACACUUGCUGUGUGCCCGGCUCCCAGGGGUGAGCCCAGUCACGAGUCCUUUCCUUCCACACCUCCCUGGCCAUGUGGUGUGGGGGUGCCCAGUCCUCCCACCAGUAACGGGGCCAAGAUGCAGGCCUUCCUACCCCACAGAGCCUGGCUCCCUCAGUGCCCCAAAACAUCAGCCACACUGUGGUCAUCAUUGAGAUGAGCAAGGCCCAGAGGGGCAGAGGCACCCCCUGCAGCGUGGACCACAGAACGCAGGGGCCCUGGGUCCCAGUCCCCCUGGCAGGUGUCCCUGCCCCAGGCGCCCACCCCCGCAGGGCCCGCUGCUUUGUGAGCAGCACUGUCCCCCUGCUGGCUGAUGCUUUGGGUAUGUCUUCCUCGAUGCCUGAUCUGGGUGGAUCCUCCCAGCUCCCUGAGCCCCCAGCGGGUGGGUGGGAGGAUUUGGGAGAUGAAAUCUGCAAGAUGCCAGCUCCAUGAGGCCUUCCCAGAUGGAUGGAUGGAUGGACAGGGGGUGGGGAGCGGCGAGGGAGGCUUUGGAUUCCUGCCCAGUGCCCACUGUGCACGCAGCACAGGCCUGGCUGUAGUAGGCGCUCAAUAAAUAAAUGUUUGUGGAGCUAAA